AUUGAACGCUGGCGGCGUGCCUAACAUAUGCAAGUCGGGCGGUAACAGGUGUAGCAAUACAUGCUGACGAGCGGCGAACGGGUGAGUAACGCUUCGGAAUCUACCCAUGGGUGGGGAAUAACCAGCCGAAAGGUUGGCUAAUACCGCAUACGUCCUACGGGGGAAAGCAGGGGAUCGCAAGACCUUGCGCCGAUGGAUGAGCCGAAGCCGGAUUAGCUAGUUGGUAGGGUAACGGCCUACCAAGGCGACGAUCCGUAGCUGGUCUGAGAGGACGACCAGCCACACUGGGACUGAGACACGGCCCAGACUCCUACGGGAGGCAGCAGUGGGGAAUAUUGGACAAUGGGGGAAACCCUGAUCCAGCGACGCCGCGUGUGUGAAGAAGGCCUGCGGGUUGUAAAGCACUUUUAGUGGGGAUGAAAAGUUCAGGGCUAAUACCCCUGGAUCUUGACCUAACCCACAGAAAAAGCACCGGCUAACUCUGUGCCAGCAGCCGCGGUAAUACAGAGGGUGCAAGCGUUAAUCGGAAUUACUGGGCGUAAAGCGUGCGUAGACGGUUACAUAAGUCGGGUGUGAAAGCCCCGGGCUCAACCUGGGAAUUGCAUUCGAGACUGCGUAGCUAGGGUGCGGAAGAGGGAAGCGGAAUUUCCGGUGUAGCGGUGAAAUGCGUAGAUAUCGGAAGGAACACCAGUGGCGAAAGCGGCUUCCUGGUCCAGCACCGACGUUCAGGCACGAAAGCGUGGGGAGCAAACAGG
rnacentral:rRNA from 1 species